UGCUGUUUUUUUGGGAAAAUUUUAAUAUCUUCAGUUUCCUCCAAGGUGUGGCCUUCCUGACAAUAGUUUACCAGUUUGGUCAUAACUUUUCUUCCAAAGAGUAAGUGUCUUUUAAUUUCAUGGCUGCAAUCACCAUCUGCAGUGAUUUUGGAGCUCAAAAAAAUAAAGUCUGACACUGUUUCCACUGUUUCUCCAUCUAUUUCCCAUGGAGUGAUGGGACCGGAUGCCAUGAUCUUCAUUUUCUGAAUGUUGAGCUCUAAGCCAACUUUUUCACUCUCCUCUUUUACUUUCAUCAAGAGGCUUUUUAGUUCCUCUUCACUUUCUGCCAUAAAGGUGGUGUCAUCUGCAUUUCUGAGGUUAUUGAUAUUUCUCCCAGCAAUCUUGAUUCCAGCUUGUGUUUCUUCCAGUCCAGCGUUUCUCAUGAUGUACUCUGCAUAGAAGUUAAAUAAGCAGGUGACAGUAUACAGCCUUGACGUACUCCUUUUCCUGUUUGGAAGCAGUCUGUUGUUCCAUGUCCAGUGCUAACUGUUGCUUCCUGGCCUGCAUACUGAUUUCUCAAGAGGCAAGUUAGGUGGUCUGGUAUUCCCAUCUCUUUCAGAAUUUUCCACAGUUUAUUGUGACUAGAGACACAAAUAUCAGAUACAACUCAAAGGCCAGAGGGAGCUAGCGGGUGGGGAAGCAGAGGCAGCCUGGGAUAGGGCCAGGGUAGAAUGAGUGUUCAGUCCACUGGCUGAGAGGAGGAUGCUGCUAAUUGAGAGGAAGAAACUUCAGAUGCAGCAGAGGUUGGAAGGUAAGCAGCUGGGAGAAUCAAUAGGAGAUUCAUCCAGGAGAGGAGAAGGAAAACUCACCCCCGAGCCCACAUGAAGAGACUAGAAUGUGUGAGAUGACCUUAACAUUUCAAAGUAAACAAGAGGGAGUGGAUUGUAAAAUUUACUGGUUUUAAAAUGUUUUAAGAAUAAUGCAGUCCUUUGUCUUUUUCUACCCCAUAUCUCAUGCAGAAUAUUGAAAUAGAAAGUGAAGAGGAACUAAAAAGCCUCUUGAUGAAAGUGAAAGAGGAGAGUGAAAAAGUUGGCUUAAAGCUCAACAUUCAGAAAAUGAAGAUCAUGGUAUCUGGUCCCAUCACUUCAUGGGAAAUAGAUGGGGAAACAGUGGAAACAGUGUCAGACUUUAUUUUUUGGGGCUCCAAAAUCACUGCAGAUGGUGAUUGCAGCCAUAAAAUUAAAAGACACUUACUCCUUGAAAGGAAAGUUAUGACCAACCUAGACAGCAUAUUGAAAAGCAGAGACAUUACUUUGUCAACAAAGGUCUGUCUAGUCAAGGUUAUGGUUUUUCCAGUAGUCAUGUAUGGACGUGAGAGUUGGACUGUGAAGAAUGCUUAGCACCGAAGAAUUGAUGCUUUUGAACUGUGGUGUUGGAGAAGACUCUUGAGCAUCCCUUGGACUGCAAGGAGAUCCAACCAAUCCAUUCUAAAGGAAAUCAGUCCUGAGUGUUCAUUGGAAGCACUGAUGCUGAAGCUGAAACUCCAGUACUUUGGCCACCUCACACGAAGAGUUGACUCAUUGGUAAAGACCCUGAUGCUGAGAGGGAUUGGGGGCAGGAGGAGAAGGGGAUGACAGAGGAUGAGAUGGCUGGAUGGCAUCACCAACUCGAUGGACAUGAGUUUGAGUGAACUCUGGGAGUUGGUGAUGGACAGGGAGGCCUGGUGUGCUGCAAUUCAUGGGGUCGCAAAGAGUUAGACACGACUGAGCAACUGAAAUGAACUGAACUGAACUGAACUCCUCGAUGCUGGCCAAGCCAAGCGAUAUUUGGCAAGAUUAAUGGCCUUUUUACUUCCUCACCUACUCCUCCUCUGUGUUCUGUAAAAGAAACUGGCAUCCAGAUCCCAUUAGAUUAUUUUUCAAGACACUAGUCUGCCAUCUUCUCAGUCUGCUGGCUUUCCACAUACUGUCAUUAUUCCUUGCCUCCAUACCUGUUUGCCAACAUACUGGCCUGUUGUGUGGUGAGCAGAGUGAGCGUGGACUUGGUAACAAUGAGAAAUGGAAAUAUUGAUUAAAACAAGCAUAUUUUGCUGCUGAACAACAGCUUUUGGCCGUGGAUUCAUACAGACAAGAAAAGGUUCACAAAAUAAUAACGGGAAAAACAGGAUUAAAAACAUAUUAUCCACAUACAAAAUCAAUUUUGCUUCUAUGUUUGCUUGUGUAUUGUCUGUGGUUGUAGAAAAUAAUGUAACAAACACUAAAAAAAAAUGAAAACCACCCAAAAGUUAAGUUUUUACCUUUGGGUAUUGGGUUUACUGAUUUU
ensembl:lincRNA